rnacentral:rRNA from 1 species
AGAGUUUGAUCCUGGCUCAGAGCGAACGUUAGCGGCGGGCCUAACACAUGCAAGUCGAACGAGAAUGAGGGGGCAACUCCUCUAGUAAAGUGGCGGACGGGUGCGUAACACGUGGGUAAUCUACCUUCCGGCGGGGGACAACAGUCCGAAAGGAUUGCUAAUACCGCGUACGUCGGCAGGGUCUACGGACCUUGUCGGGAAAGAUGGCCUCUCCUUGGAAGCUGUCACCGGAAGAUGAGCCCGCGGCCCAUCAGCUAGUUGGUGAGGUAACGGCUCACCAAGGCUAAGACGGGUAGCUGGUCUGAGAGGAUGAUCAGCCACACUGGGACUGCGACACGGCCCAGACUCCUACGGGAGGCAGCAGUGGGGAAUAUUGGGCAAUGGGCGGAAGCCUGACCCAGCCACGCCGCGUGAGUGAUGAAGGCCUUCGGGUCGUAAAGCUCUGUGGGGAGGGACGAGUAAGUUGGCGGUCAACACCCGCCGGCCCUGACGGUACCUCCUUAGCAAGCACCGGCUAACCAUGUGCCAGCAGCGGCGGUAAUAC